AAGACUAUAGACCUGCGGAGUACCUGCGGAAGGAUCAUUACAGAGUGUUCUACCCCCCUUGUAAAAAAGGUUGGGUUUAACCUCCCGUCCUUUGCUGGACCCCCCCCUAAUUUUUUGGGGUGGGGCCUUUCAAAAACUUUUUGCUACGGUGGGGUUUUUUUUAUCCCACCGGAACAUCCUCAAAAAAAAUUCUUGGCCAAAAACCGUUCAGUCCGAGAAACUUUUUUGAAAAAUUAUUGA
rnacentral:misc_RNA from 1 species